GGGACAACAAACUGAUCCAGAGAGAGAGACAACAAACAGAUCCAGAGAGAGAGGGACAACAAACAGAUCCAGAGAGAGAGGGACAACAAACAGAUCCAGAGAGGGAGGGAGGGACAACAAACAGAUCCAGAGAGAGAGGGACAACAAACAGAUCCAGAGAGAGAGGGACAACAAACAGAUCCAGAGAGAGAGGCAGGGACAACAAACAGAUCCAGAGAGAGAGAGAGGGACAACAAACAGAUCCAGAGAGA
ensembl:lncRNA